GAUUAGCUCAGUUGGUUAGAGCAUGGUGUUAAUAAGAACAAGGUUAUGGGUUCAAUUCCCAUAUGGGCCA